AUUGAACGCUGGCGGCAGGCCUAACACAUGCAAGUCGAGCGAGCGGCGGACGGGUGAGUAAUGUCUGGGAAACUGCCUGAUGGAGGGGGAUAAAUACUGGAAACGGUAGCUAAUAACGCAUACCAUCGGAUGUGCCCAGAUGGGAUUAGCUUGUAGGUGAGGUAACGGCUCACCUAGGGGACGAUCCCUAGCUGGUCUGAGCUGAUGAACAGCCACACUGGAACGGAGACACGGUCCAGACUCCUACGGUAGGCAGCAGUGGGGAAUAUUGCACAAUGGGCGCAAGCCUGAUGCAGCCAUGCCGCGUGUAUGAAGAAGGCCUUCGGGUUGUAAAGUACUUUCAGCGGGGAGGCGUUACCCGCAGAAGAAGCACCGGCUAACUCCGUGCCAGCAGCCGCGGUAAUAC
rnacentral:rRNA from 1 species